AAGAGCCCAAACCAACAAGCUUGCUUGUUGGGGUUGUAGGACACUCUAUACGGAGUUACAAAGGACGACAUUAGACGAAUCAUCUGGAAAGAUGAAUCAAAGAAGGUAAUAAUCCUGUAGUCGAAAAUGUUGUCUCUCUUGAGUGGAUCCUGAGUACGACGGAGCACGUGAAAUUCCGUCGGAAUCUGGGAGGACCAUCUCCUAAGGCUAAAUACUCUCUAGUGACCGAUAGUGAACCAGUACCGUGAGGGAAAGGUGAAAAGCACCCCGGAAGGGGAGUGAAAUAGAACCUGAAACCGUGUGCUUACAAGUAGUCAGAGCCCGUUAAUGGGUGAUGGCGUGCCUUUUGUAGAAUGAACCGGCGAGUUACGAUUUGAUGCAAGGUUAAGCAGUAAAUGUGGAGCCGUAGCGAAAGCGAGUCUGAAUAGGGCGUUUAGUAUUUGGUCGUAGACCCGAAACCAGGUGAUCUACCCUUGGUCAGGUUGAAGUUCAGGUAACACUGAAUGGAGGACCGAACCGACUUACGUUGAAAAGUGAGCGGAUGAACUGAGGGUAGCGGAGAAAUUCCAAUCGAACCUGGAGAUAGCUGGUUCUCUCCGAAAUAGCUUUAGGGCUAGCCUCAAGUGAUGAUUAUUGGAGGUAGAGCACUGUUUGGACGAGGGGCCCCUCUCGGGUUACCGAAUUCAGACAAACUCCGAAUGCCAAUUAAUUUAACUUGGGAGUCAGAACAUGGGUGAUAAGGUCCGUGUUCGAAAGGGAAACAGCCCAGACCACCAGCUAAGGUCCCAAAAUAUAUGUUAAGUGGAAAAGGAUGUGGCGUUGCCCAGACAACUAGGAUGUUGGCUUAGAAGCAGCCAUCAUUUAAAGAGUGCGUAAUAGCUCACUAGUCGAGUGACACUGCGCCGAAAAUGUACCGGGGCUAAACAUAUUACCGAAGCUGUGGAUUGUCCUUUGGACAAUGGUAGGAGAGCGUUCUAAGGGCGUUGAAGCAUGAUCGUAAGGACAUGUGGAGCGCUUAGAAGUGAGAAUGCCGGUGUGAGU
rnacentral:rRNA from 1 species